rnacentral:rRNA from 1 species
UAAAGCGCGCGUAGGUGGUUUGUUAAGUUGGAUGUGAAAUCCCCGGGCUCAACCUGGGAACUGCAUCCAAAACUGGCAAGCUAGAGUAUGGUAGAGGGUGGUGGAAUUUCCUGUGUAGCGGUGAAAUGCGUAGAUAUAGGAAGGAACACCAGUGGCGAAGGCGACCACCUGGACUGAUACUGACACUGAGGUGCGAAAGCGUGGGGAGCAAACAGGAUUAGAUACCCAGU